AUACCAGGGUACAGGACACAGGGAAAUGAAGAGAAUACCAGGUACAGGACAUAGGGAAAUGAAGAGAAUACCAGGGUACAGGACAUAGCGAAAUGAAGAGAAUACAAGGUACAGGACACAGGGAAAUGAAGAGAAUACCAGGUACAGGACACAGGGAAAUGAAGAGAAUACCAGGGUACAGGACACAGGGAAAUGAAGAGAAUACCAGGGUACAGGACACAGGGAAAUGAAGAGAACACCAGGGUACAGGACACAGGAAAAUGAAGAGAAUACCAGGUACAGGACAUAGGGAAAUGAAGAGAAUACCAGGGUACAGGACAUAGGGAAAUGAAGAGAAUACCAGGAACAGGACAUAUGGAAAUGAAGAGAACACCAGGGUACAGGACACAGGGAAAUGAAGAGAAUACCAGGGUGCAGGACACAGGCAAAUGAAGAGAAUACCAGGUACAGGACACAGGGAAAUGAA